rnacentral:rRNA from 1 species
UACGUAGGGGGCAAGCGUUGUCCGGAAUUAUUGGGCGUAAAGCGCACGUAGGCGGUUUGUUAAGUCGGAUGUGAAAUCCCUCGGCUCAACUGAGGAAGUGCAUCCGAAACUGGCAGGCUUGAGUACUAAAGAGGGUCGCGGAAUUCCCGGUGUAGAGGUGAAAUUCGUAGAUAUCGGGAGGAACACCGGUGGCGAAGGCGGCGACCUGGGUAGAUACUGACGCUGAGGUGCGAAAGCGUGGGGAGCAAACAGG